GGCUUGGUGGUGGAUGGUUCACGUCUGCAUACCGUAGAGGGUUAAACUCGAAACGGUCCAGUAAAUGCAGAAAGAGCUCGUUCGGUCCGGGCCCAAGCCA